AUGGGACCUGGUGCAACUCAAAUACAUCUCACUUGCUUAGGCUGCAUUGAUGAGAGUUGGUGUUUAUUAGCAGAAUCAGUAGGUCCAGUUAUGUUAAUCCACUUUAUGCAUAUUUGGACUUUGCAGGUGCAGUAUGUUCAUACUGUAGGUGGGUUCCUUUGCAGCUGUUAACUUCCUAUGGCUGUACAAAUAAAUUCCAUAGCAUAUUGGAGACAUAUUAGAUCACAUUUGCUUGAAAGGAACCAAACCACAACCUUACCCUGUACACCAACUGUCACACCUUCUGUCAUACAUGACAGCACACUACACCUUCCUCUUUCUAUAUUUGGGUGUGGAUUUGCUAAUCUCUGCGCUGUACUCUCUGUCUCUCUCUCUCUGUCGCUCUCUUUCUGUCUCUCUCUCUCUCUCUCUCUCUGUCUCUCUCUCUCUGUCGCUCUCUCUCUCUCUCUCUGUGUCUCUCUCUCCACCCACAUUAUAUCCCCUCCUGCUCUAAUUCUUACAUGCCCUUCUUUAAAUUUAUGCAUCCCCUUAUCUAGUCAAAAAAAGUUCCACCACUGACACGCCUGUGAGUUCUUGCUUCCUCUCUGGGUGUCUGUUAAUCUUUUUCAAAACCAUCCUAAAGCAUGUUCAUUUAGAGCAAGACAUUGGUGAGUUUUAUAGAUUUUUUUUAAUCUACUGACCAUAAUUCAAAUUUCUCAUUUUCUAUCUGACAUUUAUUGUAUCAUCUUUCCACUCUCUCCAUGUCCAUCCUUCAGCUUCACACUCUCCUCCCAAUCUCUUUCCACAUCUCCUCCUCACUUCCCUACCACCACUGUUUCUCUCCUUCCACGUUGUCUUGAUUUUCUGUCACACCAACUCUUUGUCUGUGUCCCUGUUUUAUUUACUUUCAGAAAUGUAAGAACCUGUAUUCGGCUCUAAAGAGUGUAGUUAAUACUUCCAUAUCAAGUGGGCUUUUGAUUUAAACAUUUACAUUAUCUGUACUAAAUGAUGGUGCAUAUGUAAUAGACAUAUAAACAGAUGGAGUAUGUUAACAGCACAUUGCACCGUGGGAUCUUUAUUAAUCUAUGCUCCGCACCAAUACUGUACCAUGGCUGCCUACUACAUGUGAAAACAUGUAAGGUCAUAUGCAGAAAUGUAAAGGCAUUGUAGAAAGAGAGAGAAAAGAUUGACUAUCAUAUUUUGGGGCGGCAGGUAGCCAGCCGAAAGGUUCGGUGGAUCGAAUCCCCGAGCUGACAAGGUAAUAAUCUGUUGUUCUGCCCCUGAACAAGGCAGUUAACCCACUGUUCCCCGGUAGGCCAUCAUUAUAAAUAAGAAUGAGUUCUUAACUGACUUGCCCAGUUAAAUAAAGGUUAAAUAAAUAAAUGAAUAUUUUUUUUGCAUAAUCUAAUUGGUAAUCUAGUUGAGAUUAGCUGUGCUUUGUUAAUAACUUUCAUCUGAUGAGCAGAAUGUCACAUUUGUACAUCAUAUGAAACAACAAGUCCACAUACAUGAAUCCCAUUGCAUUCAUGUAUGAACUAGAAAUAUUUAUUAGUCUUCUUUAUUAUAUUCAAUUAGUGUUCAAUGUGUCAGCUAUCCACACAGGCCAGGGAGGGAGAACAGGUACACUUAUUGCAAAACGUACAUUUUUAAAUAACUUGUCGACAUCCAUAUCUAUGUAUACAAUAGUUGAAACAACAAAAAAUGAAACUUUUAUUUAUUGAGACCAGGGUCUCAUUUACAAUACAACAAAUUCAAAAUGAUCAAUAAAAAUUAAAUAAACUACAAAUUGCAGAAUCAAACACUACAACUUCAAAACAUCACAAAUACAAUUAUUUACAUUGAAUCCAAACAGUUGCAAUUCACAUUAAAUUCAUUCAACAUUAAAGUCCUAAACUGCCAUAGAGGCACCAGAGUCUAGAUGUUGGGAGUUCUGCAGGCUAUUCCAAAAAUGGGAGGCACUAAAACUGAAGGCGGAUUUACCUAGAUCGGUAUGUACUAGUGGAACCUCGAGAGUUAACCAUCCCUGUGAACGGGUUUGGUGUCUCAUAUUUUUACAUUUUAACAGUGAAGUGAGGUAGGUUAGAAGCUUGGGUAGUAGAGCUUUGUAAAUUUAAAGGGAGGAAUUAAAUGAUCUACGGGACUUAAAUGAGGACCAGCCAACCUUUUGAUACAGGAUACAGUGAUGCAUAUUAAAACGGUCACCUGCAAUAAAGCGUAGGAUGCUAUGGUAGAUGGAAAUAUGUGGGGCGGAAAUGUAGAUUCUCUGUAAAAAAAAGUGAACAAGACAGAGCGAGAGAGAGAGAGAGAGAGAGAGAGAGAGAGAGAGAGUACGCUGGCUUCCUGUUAGUGAGUCACUCAGGCAGAAUCAUGGCUUCACAGACACUUCCUGUGUCUAAAUGGGUGGGAUGCUGCAUAUAUAGUGACAGUACACUGUACAGAACAAUACAACAACUACCAUGAAAUGACACCUGUCAGAACCAUUCAUAAUCAGUCACCGUGACACCUGCCUAUACACCUCGGUGGUGUCGUGACACAUUUAUUGUAUUAUUAUUCAUAGGCAGGUUUCAGGCUGCAUUCAGAACAAGCCUCACUUUAUCCUUUAGAAAAAAGUGUGGGAAAAUCUACGUUUCUGCCACAUAUAUUUCUUUAAGGUGUAAUUAUCUGUAUUAAAGAUUUUGCUGCAUGGAUAUUGACAUGUUUUGGGCAGUAGGUAACUAAUGGUCCAUAUACUUUAUUUACAGAUCCAGUAAUACAUCUAUGUAUGGAUCAGCUGCAGUUGAAAGAAAAGAGCACCCUCAAUUUCCAGUAAACUAGAUCUCCUUCACGGCAGAGUUUGGCCUUGGAUUUCUUCAACUUUUCGGAGAACUAUUUGAAGAGGCAUGAACAACGUAUAUGACAAAACGACAUCCACCAGAAAAGUAUUGAUUGCCUUCUUCCUCCUGGUCUUCCUUGUUUGCCUCCUGGUCUUCCUGUACAUGUGGCUGAACCGCAAGACUAAUGGCCAGUACACAGUCCGCCAACUGGUCUAUGGGCAGGAUGGGGCCAGGGACCGGAUCAUGGCUGGGGUCAGAGUCCUGGAAGUGCGGCUUGGGUGCCGGCUGUGGCCCCUUGGCGCGGAUGAGGAGGCCAUAAGAGAGGAGGAACACAAAAAUGAAGAGAGGGAUGUGGAGAGAGGGAGCGAGGGAAGGGAAAAUGAGGGGGAGGAGGAGGGCGAGGAGAGGGAAGACAGAGGGGAUGACUCGUCGGAUGACUACUCCAGCAUGGAGGGCUGUGACCUGAGGGAGAGAGCAAAGCUCACGGGCGAGAAGGAAGAGAUAAGAGAGCGUGAGGAGGAGAGAGAGGAGAAUAUGGAGGAAAAGUGGGAAAGCAAAGAGGAUGGAGAGAGUGAUGAGGGAGCAGUGGGAGGAGAAAAAAGUGGAGGAGGAGGUUUGCUGAUAGACCUGCAUCAAUUCUCUGGUAGUGCCAUCUGGUCUGAGGAUAGGAGUGAGGGGGGCAGAGACAAGGAUGAUGUGACUGCAUUGUGAGGGAAGAAUCAGCGAGGGAAAAUAGUUCCAUAUUUCAUCUUUGUACAGCAAUAGCGCAUGACAGUAGGUUUUGUCGUCAUUAUCAUCAUAAUUGUACAUUGUAAACCUGACAAACCAGUGUUACAACCAGAUUACAACAAUCAGAGCAACGAGCAACAGAGACAAAAGUGUGUGAAAUAAUAAAUCAAAGUGAAUAAAGGGACUGACAAGAGCAACAAUUGCAGAAUGAAUACAUUAAACAAUAUUUUUGAGAUAUUAAAAGCUUUUUUAAAGGUUUCAUAUGAUGAAGCUCAGGUUUUGAGUGGCACUGUUUUCUGCAUUAGUCUUAUUACUAUUGUAAUAUUUGUGGCACAGUGGUCUAAAGCACUGCAUAUCAGCGAUAGAGGCCUUAUUACAGACUCUCUGGUUCGAUUCUAGUCUGUAACACAACCAGCUGUGAUUAGAAGUGCUAUAUGGUGGCGCACAAUUGGCCUAACGUCAUCCGGUGUAGGCACUCAUUGUAAAUAAGAUUUUUUUUCUUAACAGAUUUGCCUAGGUUAAAGGUUAAAUAAAAUUUCGAAAAAUUAAAUGUGUGUUUUGUAUAUUUUAGGAAUAGCUGUUUGUAUUGAAAUAAAGUGCCUAAUUCCAAUUAUUACAUGAGUUUUUUUUAAUCACAUACAAUAAUUCGUGUAUAAUACUUUCACAUUUUAAAUCAUAAAUACAAUUUCAAACAACCUAAUCCACCUAAGAUUUACCUGUU
ensembl:lncRNA